GACGAACGCUGGCGGCGUGCUUAACACAUGCAAGUCGAGCGGUAAGGCCCUUUCGGGGGUACGACGAGCGGCGAACGGGUGAGUAACACGUGGGUGACCUGCCCUUAGCUCUGGGAUAAGCCUGGGAAACUGGGUCUAAUACCGGAUAUGACUCCAUGACGCAUGUUGUGGGGUGGGAAAGCCUUGUGCGGCUAGGGAUGGGCCCGCGGCCUAUCAGCUUGUUGGUGGGGUGAUGGCCUACCAAGGCGACGACGGGUAGCCGGCCUGAGAGGGCGACCGGCCACACUGGGACUGAGACACGGCCCAGACUCCUACGGGAGGCAGCAGUGGGGAAUCUUGCGCAAUGGGCGAAAGCCUGACGCAGCGACGCCGCGUGAGGGAUGACGGCCU
rnacentral:rRNA from 1 species